rnacentral:rRNA from 1 species
AUGCCUCCUCCUUCGCCGCUGCCUCGGCACCGGCAGGAGCGCCGCGGGUGCGGCUGCUGGGCCGUGCUGACGAGGGGCCUGCGGGGCUCCUGCUUCCGCCCGGCGGCGGCGGCCGCCGCCGCCCCGGCCGGGGCCGCGGUCAAAGGCGGCCAUGUCUACGACGCAGCGGAGACAAGAUACCUAAACUCUAGCAAUCGAGAUCUUGCAGAUCAUUUUCAGAGGAAGCUUGGUGAAGAAAAUGGUGUUGACGCAUCAAUUGAGAAGAAAAUAUCACCCAAGCUACUUGAAUUCACUUUCCAAGAGCUUAAAUCUGCCACUGUUAACUUUAGACCAGACAGUAUUCUCGGAGAAGGUGGAUUUGGGUAUGUCUUCAAGGGGUGGAUUGAGCCGAACAGCACAGCUCCUGCAAAGCCCGGCACUGGUCUGACUGUAGCUGUCAAAAGUCUGAAGGAAAAUGCUCUUCAAGGUCAUAGAGAAUGGGUGGCGGAAGUUGACUUUCUGGGACAGCUGCAUCACAAACAUCUUGUUAAGCUGAUUGGAUACUGUAUUGAGGAUGACCAAAGACUGCUUGUAUAUGAAUUCAUGGCACGGGGAAGUCUAGAAAAUCAUCUUUUCAGAAGGACUCUUCCCCUACCUUGGCCGUGCAGGAUGAAGGUUGUUCUUGGUGCUGCUAAAGGUCUAGCCUUCCUACAUGUUGGUCCGAAACCAGUUAUUUACAGGGAUUUUAAGACAUCAAAUAUUCUUAUCGAUGCGGAUUACAAUUCAAAACUAUCAGAUUUUGGAUUAGCAAAAGCUGGUCCCCAAGGUGAUAAAACCCAUGUCUCUACUCGGGUUCUUGGCACCUAUGGCUACGCUGCGCCUGAGUAUGUAAUGACAGGCCACUUGACAACCAAGAGCGACGUGUAUAGCUUCGGAGUCGUGCUUCUCGAGGUGCUGACUGGCAGGAGAUCAGUGGACAAGAAGCGACCUCCGGGGGAGCAGAACCUCGUUGCAUGGGCGAGGCCGUAUCUGAGCGACCGGCGAAGGCUCUAUCAGCUCGUAGACCCUCGCCUGGGGCUGAACUAUUCCGUCAGAGGGGUUCAGAAGGUUGCACAGAUCUGCCACCACUGCCUCAACCGUGACAGCAAGUCGCGCCCGAUGAUGGAUGAAGUCGUCAAGCAUCUGACUCCGCUGCAGGACCUCAACGACAUGGCCGCCGCAUCGUAUAGGCCCCGGUCGUCACCCCGCGGAAAGGCGCGGCGGUGA